GUUAGAAAGGGCGCACGGUGGAUGCCUUGGCACUAGGAGCCGAAGAAGGACGGGACUAACACCGAUAUGCUUUGGGGAGCUGUACGUAAGCGUUGAUCCAGAGAUUUCCGAAUGGGGGAACCCACUAUCUUUAGUCGGAUAGUAUCCUUACGUGAAUACAUAGCGUGAGGAAGGCAGACCCAGGGAACUGAAACAUCUAAGUACCUGGAGGAAGAGAAAGAAAAAUCGAUUUCCUGAGUAGCGGCGAGCGAAACGGAAAGAGCCCAAACCAAGAAGCUUGCUUCUUGGGGUUGUAGGACACUCUAUACGGAGUUACAAAAGAAAGUUAUAAAUGAAGCGGUCUGGAAAGGCCCGCCAAAGACGGUAACAGCCCGGUAGUUGAAAUAGCUUUCCCUCCAGAGUGGAUCCUGAGUACGGCGGAACACGUGAAAUUCCGUCGGAAUCCGGGAGGACCAUCUCCCAAGGCUAAAUACUCCCUAGUGACCGAUAGUGAACCAGUACCGUGAGGGAAAGGUGAAAAGCACCCCGGAAG
rnacentral:rRNA from 1 species